GUACAGUUGUGAGUGACCCACAAAAGAUUUAUGAUGAGAUUGGGCUAUGGAAUGGUGGAUGGAAACUGCAAGUUAAACUGUGGCAGACAGGGGGCGUUACUCAUCAUUUACCACACAGUUUUUUUAUUGGUACGGACAGAGGCAUUUGCUAUUAUCCAGGACAGCCUAGAAGCUGUUAUAAAUGUGGGUCAAUAAGGCAUUUGGCCUAUUGCUGUGAUAAAAUAAAGUGCUCUCAAUGUAACUGUCUGGGCCAUAUGAGAUCAGAAUGCAAGCAGGACGUAAUAUGCAACUUAUGUUCUGUACAAGGUCAUACCUUUAGAGAGUGCCCAGAAGCACACCAUAAUAAGAUAAACGACUGUGUGCUAGAUUUGGAAAGCAUACUUACUGAAGCAAUGGAAGAGCCCAAUACAACUGAGAAACAAGAUACAAAUGAGCCACAGAAAGAUGACAUUACUGAGCCAGAAAACAUCUUAAGGAAAGACGCCAAGGAAAUACAAUCUCCAUUAAAUGUUGAAAAGGGUCCAAUAUUAGAAA